UACGAAGGGGGCUAGCGUUGCUCGGAAUCACUGGGCGUAAAGGGCUCGUAGGCGGCCAACUAAGUCGGACGUGAAAUCCCUCAGCUUAACUGGGGAACUGCGUCCGAUACUGGUGGGCUUGAAUCCGGGAGAGGGAUGCGGAAUUCCAGGUGUAGCGGUGAAAUGCGUAGAUAUCUGGAGGAACACCGGUGGCGAAGGCGGCAUCCUGGACCGGCAUUGACGCUGAGGCGCGAAAGCUAGGGGAGCAAACGGG
rnacentral:rRNA from 1 species